rnacentral:ncRNA from 1 species
GUCCUAGCUUUACAAUCAAUUGUUUCUCAACUUACACAUGCAAGUAUCAGCAACCCCGUGAAAACGCCCUUUCCACCCUAUCAGGGUCAAGGAGUUAGCAUAAGGCACAGAACUCUUGCCCACAACGCUUAGUCUCACCACGCCUCCAAAGGUCUUCAGCAGUGAUAAAGAUUGUUUAUAAGCGCCAGCUUGAAUCAGUCAGAGAAAAGAGAGCCGGCCAACUCGGUGCCAGCCGCCGCGGCUAAACCGUCGGGCUCAAAUUGAUAGUAUGCGGCGUUAAGCGUGAUUAAAGAAAAACAAAAUUAGAGUUAAAUUUAGUCUUAGCGGUGAAAAGCUUGACACCUAGAAAAUCAUAAACGAAAGUUACUCUAACAUUAUACUCUUGAAUACACGACAGUUUGGGUACAAACUGGGAUUAGAUACCCCACUAUGCCAAACCGUAAAACUUAACCUACACUACAAACGCCCGGGCACUACGAGCUUUAGCUUAAAACCCAAAGGACUUGACGGUGUCCCACCCGACUAGAGGAGCCUGUUCUAUAAUCGAUAAUCCACGAUAUACCAAACCAUUUUUUGCCUUUCAGCCUGUAUACCUCCGUCGUAAGCUUACCGUAUGAACGAACAACAGUGAGCCCAAGGACUCAACGCCAUAACGUCAGGUCAAGGUGCAGCUUAUAAGAUGGAAGCAAUGAGCUACAAUUUCUAAUUUAGAACAAACGAAACACUACAUGAAACAUAGUCAUGAAGGAGGAUUUAGUAGUAAGUAGGAAAUAGAGAGUCCUACUUAAUUUGGCCCUGGGACGUGUACAAACCGCCCGUCACCCUCUUCGAUAACUAUUAAUCAAGUUUAUAACACAACUUACACACUUUAGAAGAGGUAAGUCGUAACACGGUAAGUAUACUAGAAAGUGUGCUUGGAAAA